GACAGAGGGUGCAAACGUUGCUCGGAAUUACUGGGCGUAAAGCGCACGUAGGCGGAUAUUUAAGUCAGGGGUGAAAUCCCGGGGCUCAACCCCGGAACUGCCUUUGAUACUGGGUAUCUAGAGUAUGGUAGAGGUGAGUGGAAUUCCGAGUGUAGAGGUGAAAUUCGUAGAUAUUCGGAGGAACACCAGUGGCGAAGGCGGCUCACUGGACCAUUACUGACGCUGAGGUGCGAAAGCGUGGGGAGCAAACAGG
rnacentral:rRNA from 1 species